AAUGUGUGUGAUGAAACUCUGACCUUAGGUGUGCAGUGCAGACCGUAUUGGUCAUUUCUACUGCUUGCCAAUGCUAGGCCUGUCAUAGUUACACUGACCUGUU